rnacentral:lncRNA from 1 species
UCAUUAUCAGGAUGAAGGUGAAUCUCAUUACAUGUUGCUUUACUAUUUUGCAUCAAUUUUAUCAUACUUCUCAUUUCUCAAAGUAACAAUGUAUUAUAUUCUCGAAUAAACCAAAUGCUUUUCUUUUAAAGGACACUAAAAUAAUUAACGAAUUAAGUAAACUAUUAAGCUUGACCACCUCGUUGGCAUUUAGUUACAUUGCAUUUUCAUAGCCCACUUUAUCAACUUUUCUAAAAAGAUUAUGGAUCGAUAAAAGAUAGGUAUCCAUUGGUAAUAUCAAAAUUUAUUAUUCUAAUGCAUCACU